rnacentral:rRNA from 1 species
AUUGAACGCUGGCGGCAUGCCUUACACAUGCAAGUCGAACGGCAGCGGGGACUUCGGUCCGCCGGCGAGUGGCGAACGGGUGAGUAAUGUAUCGGAGCGUACCUUUCAGUGGGGGAUAACGUAGCGAAAGUUACGCUAAUACCGCAUAUUCUGUGAGCAGGAAAGCAGGGGAUCGCAAGACCUUGCGCUGAUUGAGCGGCCGAUAUCAGAUUAGCUAGUUGGUGGGGUAAAGGCCUACCAAGGCUACGAUCUGUAGCGGGUCUGAGAGGAUGAUCCGCCACACUGGGACUGAGACACGGCCCAGACUCCUACGGGAGGCAGCAGUGGGGAAUUUUGGACAAUGGGGGCAACCCUGAUCCAGCCAUGCCGCGUGAGUGAAGAAGGCCUUCGGGUUGUAAAGCUCUUUCGGCCGGGAAGAAAUCGCACAGGCUAAUACCUUGUGUGGAUGACGGUACCGGAAUAAGAAGCACCGGCUAACUACGUGCCAGCCGCCGCAGUAACAC